UACGAAGGGGGGCUAGCGUUGCUCGGAAUGACUGGGCGUAAAGGGCGCGUAGGCGGAUUGUACAGUCAGGCGUGAAAUUCCCGGGCUCAACCUGGGGGCUGCGCUUGAGACGUGCGAUCUUGAGUGGGGAAGAGGGUCGUGGAAUUCCCAGUGUAGAGGUGAAAUUCGUAGAUAUUGGGAAGAACACCGGUGGCGAAGGCGGCGACCUGGUCCUUGACUGACGCUGAGGCGCGGAAAGCGUGGGGAGCAAACAGG
rnacentral:rRNA from 1 species